CGCACCUGUGGGAAGCAGCCGGGAGGAGGUCGGCCGCCCGCCCCCGGCAGAUUCCUUUGCUGGUCCAAGCACAGGCGAUGGGGGAUCGAACAUAAGUGGGUGGUUGGAAUCUGGCCAUUUUGAGGAAGAAUAGCAAAGACGACAUAAAGACGUGUCCAUGACUCUAGACGGUAAAUAAGAACGAAACUCUGAAUCGUCUGAAAGCAGAAGAAGCAAAGCUCAACCAGGCUGAGGCCCAGUACCUCGGACGCUCCCAGGAGGUGACACGCACCAGAGUCAGGGUCCCCGCGGCACCGCGGAAAUGAGAGGGACGUCCCCUCUGAGUGGACAUGACCGGGCCGAGAGUUGCCUCGGGAGCCUGCAGGGUCAGUGAACUCCCCCGGGGAGGCGCGAAGGCCACGUGCAGACAUUGCGGCUCGCGGUCAGAAUGCUGACACACGGCGUGCCCACGGCCACCAGCGUUGGGAAACAGCUGUCCCCACGGGGUGGACGCUGGCCUGGUGGGAAGAGAGUCUGGGAAGAAAGAAGCAGAGAGGAACGGGAGCCACAUUCGUGGCAAGUCUGCUGCGUGCCGGCCACCUCGCCCUCUCGUUAAGGCCUGGAGAGGUCAGGCUCCGAGAGCUGAGGCAGCUCGUUCACAGACACGCGGCUUGAGUGUCCAGUCCCACCUCCUUGACUCCACAGAUCACGGUCUUCAAACCUCGCGCUGUUGCCAAGACAGUUCAGGCCCUCUGACUGCGCCCAUCUAGGAGAAAGAGUGUGUACUAGUCAGGGUUCUCCUGAGAAUCGGAGCCAAGAGGAUGGAUAUCUAUCUAUCUAUCUAUCUAUCUAUCAUCUAUCCAUCAUAUAUCUAUUACCUAUCUGUCAUCUAUCUAUCUAUGUAUCUAUGUAUCUAUCUAUCAUAUAUCUAUUACCUAUCUAUCAUCUAUCUAUUUAUCUGUCAUCUAUUACCUAUCUAUCAUCUCUAUCUUUCAUCUAUCUAUCUAUCCAUCUAUCAUCUAUCUAUAUCUAUGAGAGAGGGAUUUACUAUAAGGAAUUGGCUCACACAGUUAUGCAGGCUGACCAGCCAAGAUCUGAGUUGACAGGGGGUGGAUGGGAGACCCAGGGGAGCUGAUGGUGGACCCAAGGUCCAAGUCAGAAGGUCUGAGAACGAGGAGAGCUGACGCAGUAAAUUCUGGUUCAAGGCUGAAGACAGGAAAAGACCAACGCUCCAGGCAGAGAGAGUGGAUUAUCUCUUAUUCAGACUUUUUGUUCUGUUUGGGCCUUCAGCUGAUUGGAUGAGGUCCACCCGCAUGGGGAGAGCCAUCUGCUGUGUCAGUCAACUGAUUCAAAUGUGAAUCUCAUCCCAAAACACCCUCACAGGCACACCCAGAAAAAUGUUUGACCAAAUAUUUAGGUACUCCAUGGCCCAGCCAAGUUAAUGCAUAAAUCACAGAGUACUGAUUGUAAAAGGAUUUUAGAUAGAUCACUUCAAGAAGAAAUAGACAUUAGGGAAGUUACAGGAAAAGUUUUUUGGAAAGUUUUAGCAAUAAUAUUUUACAUUCAUAUAAUAAUAAAAUGAUAGAUUUAAUAUGUAAAUCUAAGAGUUUUACAUAGAUAAGUAGUUUUUUAAAACCAUCUUUGAAGUCAGGUACUAAUAUUCCUAUUUAACAGAGGGAGACACUGAGGUAGAGCCACCAUGUCUUUUGCAGUUUUCUUUCUGUAACAACCACUGCUUUUGAGUAGAUCAGGAUGAUGUAUUUUAAAUUCAAACGGAUAAAAAAACGUAACCAUC